GUAAUUCUAGAGCUAAUACAUGCUAAAAACCUCGACUUCGGAAGGGGUGUAUUUAUUAGAUAAAAAACCAAUGCCCUUCGGGGCUCCUUGGUGAAUCAUAAUAACUUAACGAAUCGCAUGGCCUUGCGCCGGCGAUGGUUCAUUCAAAUUUCUGCCCUAUCAACUUUCGAUGGUAAGAUAGAGGCUUACCAUGGUCUUAACGGGUAACGGGGAAUUAGGGUUCUAUUCCGGAGAGGGAGCCUGAGAAACGGCUACCACAUCCAAGGAAGGCAGCAGGCGCGCAAAUUACCCAAUCCCGACACGGGGAGGUAGUGACAAUAAAUACUGAUACGGGGCUCUUUUGGGUCUCGUAAUUGGAAUGAGUACAAUCUAAAUCCCUUAACGAGGAACAAUUGGAGGGCAAGUCUGGUGCCAGCAGCCGCGGUAAUUCCAGCUCCAAUAGCGUAUAUUAAAGUUGUUGCCGUUAAAAAGCUCGUAGUUGAACCUUGGGCCUGGCUGACCUGUCCUCCUAAUCGAGCGCACGGGUUCGGUCGGGCCUUUCCUUCUAGGGAACCCCAUGCCCUUCACUGGGUGUGGUGGGGAACUAGGACUUUUACCUUGAAAAAAUUAGAGUGUUCAAAGCAGGCCUUUGCUCGAAUACAUUAGCAUGGAAUAAUAGAAUAGGACAUCGGUUCUAUUUUGUUGGUUUCUAG
rnacentral:rRNA from 1 species